rnacentral:tRNA from 1 species
GCGGGAGUAGCUCAGUUGGUAGAGCGUCAGCCUUCCAAGCUGAACGUCGUGAGUUCGAACCUCAUCUCCCGCUCCA